rnacentral:rRNA from 1 species
UACGGAGGGAGCUAGCGUUGUUCGGAAUUACUGGGCGUAAAGCGCACGUAGGCGGCUUUGUAAGUUAGAGGUGAAAGCCCGGAGCUCAACUCCGGAACUGCCUUUAAGACUGCAUCGCUUGAAUCCAGGAGAGGUGAGUGGAAUUCCGAGUGUAGAGGUGAAAUUCGUAGAUAUUAGGAAGAACACCAGUGGCGAAGGCGGCUCACUGGUCCGGUACUGACGCUGAGGUGCGAAAGCGUGGGGAGCAAACAGG